UAUGGUCCUGAUGCAAUAGAACUGGUACCCUUAGAAUAAGAUGAGACACCAGUGGUCUCUCUCUGCUAUGUAAGUACACAGCGAGAAGGUAGCUAUCAGAAAGGUGGAAACAAAAGCUCUGAACCAGAACCCAACUCUGCUGGAAUGCUUAUCUUAGCUUCUGGCCUCCAAAGUCCAAGAAAAUAAACAAGUUUCUGCUGUUUAAGCUACCCAAUCUAUGGCAUUUUGUUAUGACCAUUUAAGGUAAUAAAGGAGCUUUCCUCAACUUUAUUCACAGCCAGGCUACUGAACCUCUUCAUUCUCCAUCUGUACCACUCCUGUGGGCAAGAACAAAAGCAGAAAAAAAAAAAAGCUAGGGAACAGAGAUGCCUUUUCAUGCUCUUAAUCAAAGAUAAUAAAUGGAAAGUAUGAUGUAAAUGCCCACUGUGAGCAAAGUUUGGGUCUACACACUGGAGGAGACCUGAAGAAGAAUGCAGUCGAAACCCUGCCCUCAAAAUUAAGGGAGCUGCAGUGUGGGAACUGACAUGGAUGUGGGAACUGACCUUAAUGGACAAGAUGACUUUACAAGGCAUAGCUAAUCAUUCUACUGAGAAAAUACUUUUUCAUUCAUUCUCCAGUUGCUCUUUUCUUUUUCAACUUCAUGGAAGACAACUGAAACAGCAGGAGAGAAACACAAGGAUGAAGAACUUGAGAACUGUGUCUUAAACACACCCGGUCCCUCCCUUCCUUAGUCACCUACCAACAGAGAUCAUGCUCACAAGAAGUCUAACUGGUACCACCACCCGAUCAUCAACCUACGCCUGCACAUGCUGUUCUCUUCAUUGCUGGGAUAUCUGCUGCUAAGAAGAAAAAUGGGGAAGAGCACUGAAUGCAAUAGAUAAGCUGAUGAGAAGGAACCUCUUUAACAUAUGAACUGGCAACCAGAGAGCUCUUCAGUCUGUCACUUGACAUCCUUAGCCUGAAAGUGUAUGCCAAACAUCCUCAGAAAACACUAGCCUUCUGCCUAGCAAAUAUGACAAAAUAGCUUAGAUGACUCUAAGUUUCAAAUGAUAGGCUCUUACUGAUUUCAUUGGCCAUGCAAAAGAGCAUGGACCAUAGGGCGAGGGCCUGGACAGAAUGGACAUACACAAAAUUUAAUUAAAAUGGGAAAUACAACCCAGACCCAGCAUAAUGAUUUUUCUCCAGGCUACUGUUGCUCACUACCUCUUCAAUACAUUAGAAAAUAUUAGGUGAACAGAUUUGUAGCUUAGAACCCUCUGCUCUUCUUUGGCUAUUCACCACAUUGUAAUGGGAUGCCUAUUUAUACCAAAGAAAUAGCCUGUAUGCAUAGUAAUGUGCAUGGAAUCUGUCCCAGGACAGCAGAAGCCAAGUUAUCCUUCUCUUGUCUUUAUACAGUAAGAGUCCCUUCUGGAUCUCAUAAACGCUCCUACUUUAUAUUAUUUAUAUACUUUAGCAAAUACUGCCUGUUAUCAUGGACAAUUUUGUUUGAAAAUCGGCAAUUAAAAAGAGAGUACACCUGCUCUGAACACCAA